GAAGGGUUUUUGUUUUGUAUCAGCGAGCUGAUUCUUAACGAAGUAUUUGACCUGAUGAAGCAGUUUUAGGAGGUUUCUUAGUUCCGCCUCCCCUUUUUGUUUCUACGCAACAAUUACUCUAACUAGAUGCCCCCGCCUCCCCUCCUUCGACAUUUCAAACGAUCUAGUUCAUAAGCUCCAUUUUGUGUGGCAACACAGAGCUGAGCUCCUCCGGUCUGCUGUCCGCCGCAGGAGGGCUUCUGGGCUUAGAACUCCGAGAGUUCGAAACGGGGAAGUGAACUGGAAUGACGUCUCUGCUCUGUGACGUCGGAUCGUUAGUCCAGCAGCAGCCAUACUUACUUAAGACGUUCAUCAUUCAAAGGUUGAGCCUGGCUCGCCAUCUUCCUCUGCGUCUCCCUGAUGGAAAGCCUCUGGUGGAGGCAAACCUGGUGGUUUAGGAUUUUUAAAGGCUGCUGCCAACAUUGUUUGUAAAUUGUAAAUUAAUUUUAGUAGUCAUACCUCUGCUACGGCUAAACCAAGCAAAACACCAGUCAUCCAGCGGGGUGACACAGCUGUGCUCUCGUGGGUUGCUGGUGAUUGGCUCUGGAAGAAGUGUGGAACAUGUCGGGAACAGGAGUGGGACAAACUGUGUUCAAAACCUAAACAAUAUUUAAUAUUGUCAUGCAACACUUCAAAGGCACAGGCUGACCAGAGGGAUGAGAACAACCUAAUCUGGAAUGUGGUGAUCUCACAUUCCAAGAGUGAAUCACAGAGAACAGAGGAUACAUCAGCAUUAACAGGCUGUUUGUCUCCCACCCACUUCACCCCAUCACUCCCCAACCUUUGACCUCUGCGUCUCCGCCCCUCCCCCCAAGCACACAGAAAACGCUGCUCACGUGCUCUUCUAAAGAGGGGAAGAAAAAUGGGAAAAAAUCAGCUAAUUAUCAUUGAAUAUGUUAUAUGUAGCAAUGAAGUAACUUUAUUCUUAACAAAUAAAAGCAACAUUUUAUCUUUGUGUGAACCUACCUGCCUUGAUAUCCGCUCAACGUUGCUGCUGUUACACCUGGAGUUCCCCACUGUGGGACAAUGAAGGCUACUUUAUUCUACUUCAUAGUUUCAAGUUCCUAAAUGAAAAGU